rnacentral:misc_RNA from 1 species
UACUCACUACUCGCUGCUCACGCUCUUUGACAAUCGUAGGUCCGGAUGGGGCGAACGCAUUCUUCGGAAUGCCGUUCGCAAACAAAUGUUGAGGAAUCAACACCGUAGAAGUUUGUAGUGACGGCCUUCGCAGGCCGUCAUAUCAGCGUAAUAGAUCGAGAUCAAACGCAAUAAGGCGCACGGUGUAUGCCUUGGCAUCGAGAGGCGAUGAAGGACGUGAUAAGCUGCGAUAAGCCUGGGGGAGCUGCACAUAAGCUGUGAUCUCAGGAUGUCCGAAUGGGGAAACCCGG